rnacentral:tRNA from 1 species
GUCCCGUUGGCCGAGCAGCCGAGGCGGCGGUUUGCAGAACCGCAGAGGCUGGUGCAACUCCAGCACGGGACUCCA